UCUCUCUCUCUCUCUCUGAAUCACGCACCACGGACCUUCGGCUCCCAGUGCGCAUGACCAGUAACCGCAGAAAUCCCAAACUCAUUUCCUUGGAAUAAUAAAUUCAACAAGAGAGAUGUCCGAAUAAGAUAUAUAAGAUGAGCUCGUGAAUGCCAUCGAGUAAUAAGCAGCAAGUUCAAUCUAUUCAGUUUAAAGAUAUAUAUAAAAAAGAAAGAUUAAACCUCCCAACAGAAUCUCUACACCACUUGCUACUCCCUCAAUCAGAGAAUAAUUUAUUAUAUCAUGACUCAGCCACCGGCAACUCCACCGCUGGCCUCACAACCACCACCACAACCUCACCCCGCAGGCGGCAGCGUCCAGGUCCGCUGCGCUGGAUGCCGUAUGAUCUUAACCGUCGGACCAGGAAUCACGGAAUUCGUCUGUCCUUCCUGUAAGAUGCCGCAAAUGCUGCCGCCCGAGCUCAUGAUAAAGGCGGUGGCUCCACCGCUGCUUAAAAAUAACAAUAUGUUGCAUAAAAUGACGUCGCAGCAGCAAACGCCGGCUUACGGCAUCGAUCCGAGUAAGAUGCAGCUGCCUUGCGCUAAUUGCAAGGCUAUUUUGAAUGUUCCUCAUGGUUUGGCUCGGUUUCAGUGUCCUCAGUGUUUUGUCGAUCUCGCUGUUGAUUUGUCGAAGAUUAAACAGCUCUUUCCUCCUCAUGCUACACCUCCUCUUCCUCUUCCCCCUCCGUCGCGGACGGUGCUUCCUCUUCCUCCUCUUCCGCGACUAGUUCUUCCUCCUCCCCCCCUCGAAGAAGUCAACGAGGUAGCCAUUGAAGUGGAGAGAGAGGAAGAUGAAGGUGGCACUGCAGGAGAAACUUUUACAGAUUAUCGACCUCCAAAACUAUCUAUUGGACCACCUCAUCCCGAUCCUAUUGUGGAGACGUCUUCCUUGUCUGCAGUGCAGCCACCUGAGCCUACUUAUGAUCUAAAAAUCAAGGAUGAUUUAGAAAGUACCAAGGCUUUGUCAUGCUUGCAGAUUGAGACAUUAGUCUAUGCUUGUCAGAGGCACAUGCAACACCUUCCAAAUGGUGCCAGGGCUGGAUUCUUCAUUGGAGAUGGAGCUGGUGUGGGUAAAGGUAGAACAAUUGCAGGAUUGAUAUGGGAAAACUGGCGCCACGCGAGGAGGAAAGUUUUGUGGAUUUCUGUUGGUUCAGACUUAAAGUUCGAUGCAAGAAGAGACUUGGAUGAUGUUGGUGCAGCACAUAUUGAAGUGCAUGCUUUGAACAAGCUGCCCUAUUCUAAGCUUGAUUCGAAGUCUGUUGGUGUCCGAGAGGGAGUUGUAUUUUUGACAUACAAUAAUCUCAUUGCAUCUUCUGAGAAAGGUCGGUCUCGUCUGCAACAACUUGUGCAGUGGUGUGGAUCAGAAUUUAAUGGUCUUCUAAUAUUUGAUGAGUGCCAUAAAGCAAAAAACUUGAUACCUGAAGCUGGAAGUCAACCCACGCGGACAGGUGAAGCAGUUCUUGAUAUUCAGGCCCGACUUCCUGAAGCACGUGUUAUCUAUUGCUCAGCGACUGGUGCAUCUGAACCACGAAAUAUGGGUUAUAUGGUCAGGCUUGGUCUUUGGGGAGAUGGAACAUGUUUUGAUGUUUUCCAAAAGUUUCUAGGUGCUCUUGAAAAAGGUGGUGUUGGAGCAUUGGAACUUGUUGCAAUGGACAUGAAAGCAAGGGGAAUGUAUGUAUGUCGUACCCUUAGCUAUAAAGGGGCAGAGUUUGAAAUUGUUGAAGCACCUUUAGAACCUGAGAUGAUGGACAUGUACAAAAAAGCAGCAGAAUUUUGGGCGGAGUUGCGAGUAGAGUUGCUUUCAGCAAGCACCUUUCUUACUAAUGACAAACCAAAUUCUAGUCAACUGUGGAGAGUAUAUUGGUCAAGCCAUCAGCGCUUCUUUAGACACAUGUGCAUGUCAGCUAAGGUGCCUGCUACUGUAAGAAUAGCUAAGCAGGCAUUGAAAGAAGAAAAGUGUGUUGUUAUUGGCCUGCAGAGUACAGGAGAGGCUCGAACUGAGGAAGCUGUAUCAAAAUAUGGUUCUGAACUUGACGAUUUUAUUUCUGGACCUCGAGAAUUGCUGCUGAAAUUUGUGGAAGAAAAUUACCCUCUGCCGGGAAAACCAGAACAAGGAGAGGAAGGCGUAAAGGAACUUCAACGGAAGAGGCACUCAGCAACUCCUGGUGUUUCAUUGAAAGGGCGAGUUAGGAAAGCUGCAAGAUGGAAACCUGAGAGUGAUGAUGAAAUUGAUGAAGGAUCUGGAACUGAUUCUGGAGGCGAAUCCAAUGGAUCUGAUGAUGAGUUUCAGAUCUGUGAGAUAUGCAAUUCAGAAGAGGGAAGGAAGGAAUUACUCCAAUGCUCUUGUUGUGGCCAACUGGUCCAUCCCUCAUGUUUAGUGCCACCUGUUACAGAUUUAGCAUCUGAAGAUUGGUCAUGUCAUUCGUGCAAGGAAAAAACAGAAGAAUUUCUUCAACAACAGCAUGCUUAUCUUGUUGAACUUACAAAGAGGUAUGAAACAGCUUUGGAACGCAAAUUGAAAAUUUUGGAGAUAAUUCGAUCUUUGGAUCUUCCAAACAAUCCUUUGGAUGAUAUUAUUGAUCAGCUUGGAGGCCCUGAUAAUGUUGCUGAAAUGACUGGGAGGAGAGGCAUGCUUGUAAGGGCCACCAGUGGAAAAGGCGUAACUUAUCUUCCACGAAACUCAAAGGAUGUCACCAUGGAAAUGGUCAAUAUGCACGAGAAGCAGCUUUUCAUGGAUGGUAAGAAAUUGGUUGCUAUCAUUUCUGAAGCAGGAUCAGCUGGUGUGUCUUUACAGGCAGAUAGAAGAUCAAAAAAUCAGAAAAGAAGGGUUCAUUUAACUCUAGAACUUCCUUGGAGUGCUGACCGAGCAAUUCAACAGUUUGGAAGAACACACCGAUCAAAUCAAGCUUCUGCUCCUGAGUAUAGGCUAUUAUUUACUAAUCUUGGUGGAGAACGCCGCUUUGCAUCUAUUGUUGCCAAGCGAUUAGAAUCUCUCGGGGCCUUAACACAGGGAGACCGCAGGGCUGGGCCUUCUUUGAGUGCUUACAAUUAUGAUAGUGCGCAUGGGAAAAAGGCUUUGAUGGUGAUGUAUAGAGGAAUUAUGGAGCAGGAUACUCUGCCAGUUGUACCUCCUGGAUGUUCCUCUGAAAAGCCAGAGACAGUUCAAGAAUUUAUAACAAAGGCAAAAGCUGCUCUUGUUUCUGUUGGAAUAGUUAGAGACUCUGUUCUUGGCAAUGGGAAAGACUAUGGAAAGUUGUCUGGACGUAUAAUUGAUUCAGACAUGCAUGAUGUUGGGCGUUUCCUCAAUCGGAUUUUAGGACUGCCACCUGAGUUUCAAAAUAGGAUGUUUGAGUUGUUCGUCAGAAUCUUAGAUCUUCUUAUUCAGAAUGCACGCAUCGAAGGGGAUCUUGAUUCUGGGAUUGUUGAUAUGAAAGCUUACAUUAUUGAAUUACAAGGAACUCCCAAGGUUAUACUUUCUUGCUAUUCUUUUACUGGCUUUACUCAACGAGUGAUGUUGACUUUUAUCUUACAGACUGUUCACAUUGAUCUAAUGUCUGGGGCAUCAACUGUUCUUUUUACUUUCACUCUGGAUCGAGGAAUCACAUGGGAGUCUGCAAGUACCAUGCUCGUGGAAAAGCAAGAGGAUGGGCUCAGUUCUUCGAAUGAUGGAUUCUAUGAAUCUAGGAGGGAUUGGUUAGGAAGACGUCACUUUAUUUUAGCAUUUGAAAGCUCUGCUUCUGGAAUGUUUAAGAUUGUCAGACCUGCUGUUGGGGAGUCAGUAAGGGAAAUGCCCCUGGCAGAGUUGAAAAACAAAUAUAGAAAACUGUUGUCGUUAGAUAAGGCUCGUAGUGGUUGGGAAGACGAGUAUGAAGUUUCAUCUAAACAGAACUUGAUGCAAGCUUCGACCUGCCAACUCGAGUUUCAGCAGCCAGAAAUAAGUUUUGUGUGAAUAUUCAAAUUAGCAUAUUCCAUGCAAAGUUUCCUGUUUGUAAUGUGCCCGUACUUAAAUGGGGAAUCAUAUACUGGAGUCAACUGAUAAUACAAUGUGGAAAUUUUAUGAUGCUGCAACAAGGUAAGUGACUUGUAGACAAUUGGAUGGAAUAUUGUUACUUUGAUUGAUUAAUGACAUUGCUACCUUGCUGUUAGUGUCCAGCUGACCCCUUUUAAUGUAGAGAAACAGAAUCAUGCCAAAGUGAAAGGUGCAUGUCUUGUAUAUUCUCCAGCAUACUGUGUGACUUCUUCAGUCCCCUUUUUUUGUUUUGUACUUGUAAAAUUCUAUUGAUCAAUCUGAAAUCUAAUAAUUUUCUUCUUGAAUUGACUAUUUACUCCAUAUAGACUUGAUGCAUAAACUUUUUGUUAAUUCUUCAGUUACCUUGUUGUUCUUAUCCAUAGCUUACUGUUAAUUUUUCCUGCAGUGCAUGCAUGGCCCCAAUUGCAGGCUUGGAAACUUUUGUACAGUUGGCAGAAGAAGACAGGAAGUAAAUGUUUUGGGUGGUCUUAUUCUUCCUGUUUGGGGAACUAUCGAGAAAGCCCUUUCUAAGCAGGCUCGUCAAAGCCACAAGCGG